UGCGCACGAAGGUAAAACGACGCGCUAAUUCCCAAGAUGGUCGCAUUUUCACACGUCACUCAGUUUUACGUUCUCUUUCAGUGUGACUUAUCCAUUCAUUCAAUCAUUCAUUCAUUCAUCCACUAACCCCACACCCAGGAGUCGAACCCCACCGCCCCUCCUUUCUCCUUCCUUCCCAGGGAAAUUCGGACAUCAAUGCUCAGCUGCAAAGUAGAGCGCAAACCCUAAUCUUUAUUUAAAGGACCCAAAGACGAGGACGUAAAUGGGUGACGGUUAACCCGGAUUAAGCAGAGCUUUCAAUCUACUUCCCUUCUAUGUACUGUACCAGAAUCCUACCAGCUAAGCCAUGCCAUUUCGACAACGGUUUCUGAAACUUCAGUAUGGUGAAAGGGAUGAGGGUAGCAUCGAGAGAGACAUCUUCUUACGUUGCAGGAACAGACCAAUAGAUGGAUUACAGAAGCAUCUCUCUCUCUCUUACCAAACUGAUGAACUGA